CCCUACGGGACGCAGCAGUAGGGAAUUUUCGUCAAUGGGCGCAAGCCUGAACGAGCAAUGCCGCGUGAAGGAAGAAGGCUUUCGGGUUGUAAACUUCUUUUCUUGGGGACGAAGAAAGUGACGGUACCCAAGGAAUAAGCCACGGCUAACUACGUGCCAGCAGCCGCGGUAAUACGUAGGUGGCAAGCGUUAUCCGGAUUUAUUGGGUGUAAAGGGCGUGUAGGCGGGAUUGCAAGUCAGAUGUGAAAACCACGGGCUCAACCUGUGGCCUGCAUUUGAAACUGUAGUUCUUGAGUGCUGGAGAG
rnacentral:rRNA from 1 species